rnacentral:tRNA from 1 species
AAGGGAGACCUAAUUCCGGUAGGAGACGAAAAAAAAGUAGUCCCUACCAAGAAUCAAUCCCAAAAGGUCGAAGCGAGGCAAGAUUGGCUUUCAAACUAGGUUCUGGGUUCAAACAAGACCUGAAUCAGGAACAAGGGCUAUUAGCUCAGGUGAUUAGAGCGCACCCCUGAUAAGGGUGAGGUCCCUGGUUCGAGUCCAGGAUGGCCCACCUGCACAGGUGGCAAAAACAAAGAAGCGAGGAAUCAGCACCUUAUCUUACUCAUAUAGUAAGAGAGAAUGCUGGCUCUGAGUAAAGAGUCCAGAGGAACCUUGAAAACUGCAUAGAGCUAGGUGAAAAAGCCAAAAAAGAAGACCGCAA